GCUGGGCGUCGUGGCGCAUGCCUGUAAUCCCAGCUACCUGGGAGGCUGAGGCAGGAGAAUUGUUUGAACCCGGGAGGCGUAGGUUGCAGUGAGUUGAAACCGGGCCACUGCACUCCAGCCUGGGUGACAGAGUGAGACUCUGUCUCCA
rnacentral:SRP_RNA from 1 species